UGCAAGCGUUAAUCGGAAUUACUGGGCGUAAAGCGUGCGUAGGCGGUUUCUUAAGUCUGCUGUGAAAGCCCUGGGCUCAACCUGGGAAUGGCGGUGGAUACUGAGAAGCUGGAGUACGGUAGAGGAAGGUGGAAUUCCCGGUGUAGCGGUGAAAUGCGUAGAGAUCGGGAGGAACAUCAGUGGCGAAGGCGGCCUUCUGGACCAGUACUGACGCUGAGGCACGAAAGCGUGGGGAGCAAACAGG
rnacentral:rRNA from 1 species